CCUACGGGUCGCAGCAGUGAGGCAUAUUGGUCAAUGGGCGCGAGCCUGAACCAGCCAAGUCGCGUGAGGGAAGACGGUCCUAUGGAUUGUAAACCUCUUUUGUCGGGGAGCAAAAGACGCCACGCGUGGCGUUCCGAGCGUACCCGAAGAAAAAGCAUCGGCUAACGCCGUGCCAGCAGCCGCGUUAAUACGGAGGAUGCGAGCGUUAUCCGGAUGUAUUGGGUUUAAAGGGGGCGCAGGCGGAAGAGCAAGUCAGCGGUAAAAUUGGGAGGCUCAACCUCUUCGAGCCGUUGAAACUGGCUGUCUUGAGAUGUCGAGAGGUAUGCGGAAUGCGCAGUGUAGCGGUGAAAUGCUUAGAUAUUGCGCAGAACUCCGAUUGCGAAGGCAGCAUACCGGCGGCGAUCUGACGCUGAGGCACGAAAGCGUGGGUAUCGAACAGGAUUAGAUACCCGGGUAGUC
rnacentral:rRNA from 1 species